UGGGGAAUAUUGCACAAUGGGCGCAAGCCUGAUGCAGCCAUGCCGCGUGUGUGAAGAAGGCCUUCGGGUUGUAAAGCACUUUCAGCGAGGAGGAAGGUGGUGAGCUUAAUACGCUCAUCAAUUGACGUUACUCGCAGAAGAAGCACCGGCUAACUCCGUGCCAGCAGCCGCGGUAAUACGGAGGGUGCAAGCGUUAAUCGGAAUUACUGGGCGUAAAGCGCACGCAGGCGGUUUGUUAAGUCAGAUGUGAAAUCCCCGGGCUCAACCUGGGAACUGCAUUUGAAACUGGCAAGCUAGAGUCUCGUAGAGGGGGGUAGAAUUCCAGGUGUAGCGGUGAAAUGCGUAGAGAUCUGGAGGAAUACCGGUGGCGAAGGCGGCCCCCCUGGACGAAGACUGACGCUCAGGUGCGAAAAGCGUGGGGAGCAAAACAGGAUUAGAUACCCUGGUAGUCCACGCUGUAAAACGAUGUCGAUUUUGGAGGUUGUGCCCCUUGAGGCGUGG
rnacentral:rRNA from 1 species